rnacentral:rRNA from 1 species
UACAGAGACCUCAAGCGUUGUCCGGAAUCAUUGGGCGUAAAGCGCGUGUAGGCGGCUGAGUAAGUCUUCUCUGAAAGCCCGGGGCUCAACCCCGGGAGGCGGGUGGAUACUGCUCAGCUCGAGUCCGGAAGAGGAGUGUGGAAUUCCUGGUGUAGAGGUGAAAUGCGCAGAUAUCAGGAGGAACACCAAUGGCGAAGGCAGCACUCUGGGACGGUACUGACGCUGAGACGCGAAAGCGUGGGGAGCAAACAGG